rnacentral:lncRNA from 1 species
AAAAAAAUUAUUGUCAACAUACAAUAUCAUCUUGAAAAACUGUUCUACUUCCAGAAAAAUUCAUCGAUUAAAAACAUUUCUGAAAAAAACAAACCGAACAAUUGCAACUUGCUAGAUCCACUGAUGACUUUACCUUUUAUGAUCUCUUCAGGUGAUAUUUUCUCACUUUUCGUUUAGAUUAUAUAGAUAGUAGUUCCAUCUCUAAAGCGAUAUAGAUCCUUCAAAAAAUGUUUUAGAAAUGCUUUGCAUGUCGAAUCUGAAGUCUUAUGUGUUAAGAACGAUGAGUUUGAGGUGGUUGUUGACUUCUCCUUUUCCGAUCUCUUCAACAAAACCAUAAGUAAUUUUGAAUGAAAACAAAAAGAUAAAUCUAAUCCCAAGUCUUUCUUUUCGCUCCAUAGUAAUUAGUAACGCUUAAUUUAAAUCUUAUUUUCUAAUAACUAACUAUGAAGAUCUAAUUCUCUUUCAAAAAAAAAACUACAAAGAUCUAACAUUUUUUUAUUUGUUCUGCAUGUGAGACCCGAUUAAUUGUAUGUUUAAUCCGAUAAGUUUGGAAUGAUUUCGAAGUGUCCAAAGAAGGUCUAAAGCAAUCAAAAUCUGAUCUCCGGAAAACAACCAGCCAAAUAACAUUGGUAAAGAAUCGUAAAACACACAUUUGACAAUUUCUAUAUACAGUUAAAUUUAUUAUUUACAGCUUGAGACAUUCAUUAUAACAAAACUAUUUUUAUUGCAAUAAAACUAAAAAUCGUUUUGUUUUAAUGCUGGAUAAAAUAAUAUAACUAAAAAUCGUUAAUAUAUUAUUUUAAUGAUCUUGUCUGAAAGAAAAUAUUAUAUUUUGUUAAACUUUUUUUUUUGUAAACUACUAUUUUGUUGUUAUUAUUCUUACAAUCUUUUGUUUGUUUUCAGGACUAAUAUAUUUUCAAAGAAUAAUUUAAAUAACCAAUAAAAAUACAACGAUUAUGGGUUUCAUUCUUCUGUGAAGAACAACAUGACUUUACUAUAAAAGAUAAGUUAUUUCCAGAAACUUUGUCUUCUUUAUGUUGUGAAUCAGACUCGUACUACUAUUCGAAAUACAACAAACCUGAGAGAAUGUAAUUUUUUAUACUUUGACUUAAUCGUUUUAAUAAAAUAUUUGUUUGCAGUAGUUGGAAGCUAUGAAGAUUAUUCAAAUAUCAUAUAGUCCUUUGUAACAGAAUAACAGGCAACACAAUUUGGGACUAUUCAUAUCAUUGAGAAAAAUUAACUUCAAAGUCUAAUACUAUGACAAAAAGGGUAUACAUAUAUAUGAAUCUUACAUUCUCAUCAGCUAAGAUGAUUUCCAUGGUUUCACCUGCUUGAUGUUUCCAUGUCUGUAGCACCUUCACAUGCACACCCAUGUUGUUUUCCAAGACCUUAUAAUCGCAGCA